rnacentral:rRNA from 1 species
UACGGGGGGGGCAAGCGUUGUUCGGAAUUACUGGGCGUAAAGGGGACGUAGGCGGCCAACUAAGUCCGACGUGAAAUCCCCAGGCUUAACCUGGGAACUGCGUCGGAUACUGGAUGGCUUGAAUCCGGGAGAGGGAUGCAGAAUUCCAGGUGUAGCGGUGAAAUGCGUAGAUAUCUGGAGGAAUACCGGUGGCGAAGGCGGCAUCCUGGACCGGCAUUGACGCUGAAGCGCGAAAGCUAGGGGAGCAAACGGG